UAUACAUUAUGCACAUUAGAAAUUGGUUUAUUUAUUCGUUUGCUGUAAGACUAAAAUUUAUAGGUUAGGUGUCUAUCUAUAUUAUUGUAUUAAACGUGUGUGUGUGUGUGUGUGUGUGUGUGCGUGUAGCGAAAGACUCGCGUAUAA